rnacentral:rRNA from 1 species
CAGUCGCCGCGGGAAUACGUAGGUGGCAAGCGUUGUCCGGAAUUAUUGGGCGUAAAGGGCUCGCAGGCGGUUUCUUAAGUCUGAUGUGAAAGCCCCCGGCUCAACCGGGGAGGGUCAUUGGAAACUGGGAAACUUGAGUGCAGAAGAGGAGAGUGGAAUUCCACGUGUAGCGGUGAAAUGCGUAGAGAUGUGGAGGAACACCAGUGGCGAAGGCGACUUUCUGGUCUGUAACUGACGCUGAUGUGCGAAAGCGUGGGGAUCAAACAGGAUUAGAUACCCCCGUAGUCCCUGUCUCUUAUAC